UGUGGCCUCAAAUCAUGUAGGACUACCCGCUGAACUUAAGCAUAUCAAUAAGCGGAGGAAAAUAAACUAACAAGGAUUCCCCUAGUAACUGCGAGUGAAGCGGGAAAAGCUCAAAUUUAAAAUCUGGCAGUCUUUGGCUGUCCGAGUUGUAAUCUAGAGAAGCAUUAUCCGCGCUGGACCGUGUACAAGUCUCCUGGAAUGGAGCGUCAUAGAGGGUGAGAAUCCCGUCUUUGACACGGACUGCCAGGGCUUUGUGAUGUGCUCUCAAAGAGUCGAGUUGUUUGGGAAUGCAGCUCAAAAUGGGUGGUAAAUUCCAUCUAAAGCUAAAUAUUGGCGAGAGACCGAUAGCGAACAAGUACCGUGAGGGAAAGAUGAAAAGAACUUUGGAAAGAGAGUUAAACAGUACGUGAAAUUGCUGAAAGGGAAACGCUUGAAGUCAGUCGCGUUGUCCAGGGAUCAACUCUUGCUUUUGCUUGGUGUACUUUCUGGUUUAACGGGUCAGCAUCAAUUUUGACUAUUGGAAAAAGAUCAAGGGAAUGUGGCAUCUUUAGAUGUGUUAUAGCCUUUGGUUGCAUACAAUAGUUGGGAUUGAGGAACUCAGCACGCCGCAAGGCCGAGUUUUUAACUACGUACGUGCUUAGGAUGCUGGCAUAAUGGCUUUAAUCGACCCGUCUUGAAACACGGACCAAGGAGUCUAACAUGCCUGCGAGUGUUUGGGUGGAAAACCCGAGCGCGAAAUUAAAGUGAAAGUUGAGAUCCCUGUCGUGGGGAGCAUCGACGCCCGGACUUGACCUUUUGUGACGGUUCCGCGGUAGAGCAUGUAUGUUGGGACCCGAAAGAUGGUGAACUAUGCCUGAAUAGGGUGAAGCCAGAGGAAACUCUGGUGGAGGCUCGUAGCGAUUCUGACGUGCAAAUCGAUCGUCAAAUUUGGGUAUAGGGGCGAAAGACUAAU
rnacentral:rRNA from 1 species